GAGCUGCCGUCUGUACUCCAACCUGCCCUCGCAGAACCAUGUUCGCCCUGCAGCUACCAGGAUGUACCGGACGUGGAUAAAGAAAUGCGGCUUUUAGGGCGUUUUCUGCCCUCUCGGCUAAGGAAAACGGAGACGAUAGAGGUGGCAGUGCCUUUCUGUUCCUCUCUCAGGCCCCUGUAUCAAGGAAGCAGCAAAACGUGUUCCUGUUUGUCAUUUGCUGCAGGUGGAAAAGGGACAGAAGUGGCAAUAAAAUCACUCAUCCAGUUUACUGACAGAAGCAUCUUGAAGGUCCAUUCAACUCUGUACUGUAAUUCUUUUCAAUUUUUGUGCUUUGUGCCUGUCGAGUCGCUCAAUGCCGUAAGGUCCUUGAGCAGUUUUCUUCAUGGUCCUUCUUUCCAUUGCAUCUCUGCAAAGCCUGCAUGGUCAGCAGGCUUUGUCCCCCACCAUCCUCUCCCGGGUCCCUUAAGGAAAGCUGAAUGAGACAAGUCCUUUCAAAUUCUGGAACUCCACAGAGGCUGGAACCCUAGAGAGCAAACCUGGCAAGAGGAUGUGAUAUGCUGGAGCCUCCCAAAUAGGAUGAGACUGGCUGUGAUCUUGGAAAUGCUACAGCACUCUGUGUCCAGAGAGCAGUGAGGAAUGGAGAGCUUCCAGGGGCUUGCAGGAUUUGUGUACAAGGCGUCUUCUCUAGUUUUCCUGCCUUCUCUGGAAAUCAAGCAUGGUUGGGAAAGCCUUUGGCCAUGCCCCUGCUGCCCUGUGGCAGCAGCUCUCUUGGACAGAGAGCAACACAUAACUUUCCCAGGCCUUUCUGGGGAGGGCUGUGAGAAGAUCAGAGAAAAGAAAGAGAGGCAAUUCUUAUCCUCACUUGGUGGACCUGUUGUUGUGAACAUGUGGAAUGUGUCAUUGAGAUUUGUUUACCAAAGGGUGGUUUCCUAAUUAGCCAAUGGUGAUGGUGUUUGGGUUGGAGGACCAAUUAGGUUUAACUGUAUCAUAGCUGUCUAUAAAAGCAAUGGGUUUCUUAAUAAUGAUAAUAAUAUAAUAAAGAGAUUGAUCAGCCUUCUGUGAAUCAUGAAGUCAAUGCUAAUUAUUACCCGGCUGGGGGCCUGUCACAACGAAAC